CAAGGGAGAAGGAGCCCUCCUGAAGCAUGUGACGGGAAGAAGCCUGACUAAGGUCUACUAAGCUUUAUUACAGUGCUCUUAGCUGUUUCCUUUUAUCAAAAUUCACCUCUGGUGCAAACACAGACUCCUGUGACAAGCUUCAGACAUGCAGCAGGUCUGCAUGCCCACACAAAGAGGAGCAGUACUAUCCCUGGAUGACGGUGUGGAGAAAACUGGAUGCUUGCUUUCUGUCUUUGUUAAAUCCCAAUGGAAGACUGCAAAGUACCCUAUAAUUUCAUUGACAUCAGUGGGAUCUAAAAACACUUUGUUAAGGCAAGCAGCAUUCUCACCUUCAAGGGGUCCCGCUUGAGGCACCAAGAUGCAUGUAGCCAGGAAUACAACUGGGCAGCAUGAAGAGCAGCUCCCUGCAGGCAAGCUGACUGACUCUUCAAUAGAAGUAGGAGUGGCAUUGUGAAUUUGCCUUUUUUGGAAUGAAAGGAGGAUGUGAAUCUGCAGACUUCAGCCAUCCAUGAUGGGAUGCAUCUGUUUUCUCUAAUGAAAAACACUUUUCACCUCAGAAGGAAAAAAAAAAAGAAGAAAAAGUGGAUCUGAGUUCCUCUAGGGGGAAGGCAUAGAAUCAGGAUCAAAAGAAACUGGCAUAACAUGUUAGCAAAACUGCUGGGAUGUUUGUAAAAAUCCCAUGGAGACUUUCUAUUUUUAUUUACAAAUGAAAAAUGCUUUGCACAGACAACUAAGGGCCUUGCUACAUGGUAAUUUUGGGCGGCUCCUGGAGCUCUUAACACCUGGAUCGGCUGCACAUUAGCACCUGAAAUUAGUUUUAACCACUCAUUAGAUAGUUCAAAGUUAUGGUACUCCAGGGCAGGAUUAUCUCUGAUCCAUGUUACCCAGCUCCUGUUAAACUAAGGUGUAGCUGUCACUCUAGGCUACACCUUAGUGUAAGCAGACCCACCCAUGCACCUUCUCCCCUGCUGACCAAAUCAGUCCCUCCACAGCACCCCAGAUCUUCCUUUGUGCCUUCUUCCUUUGUUGCUUUUGUUGCCUUUUUCCUUUUUUGUUGCCUGAAGGUACACCCUGGCCCAAGAACAUCACAGGUCUAUGAUUUCCUAAAUGUUUUCUUUGUUCUAUAUAGAUACAUAACAAGAUUUACAGAGAAUAAAGCUUGGU